UCAUUGAGGAUUGGAGAAGCAGAGCAGGAAAGUGGGACCGCAACAUCAAGGAGGCUCGUGAGAAGCUGGAGAUGGAGAUGGAGGCUGCACGCCAUGAGCACCAGGUCAUGCUAAUGAGACAGGGUGAGUCUAGGCCUGUAAGUUUUAAAGCUGAAAGGACAAAAUGACAUUUUUAAAUGGGUUUCUUUGUAUCAAUUAGCAGAAAGGCCUAAAUCUCUGCUUUUAUACUUUGAAAUAUUUUGCGUUGAUUUUGGUAGAUAAGUAGAUUUGGAGAUGUGGCAGAGAUACUGGAUUCUGUGAAGAAGGAAAUGAUAGGUUUGACUUCAUUUUGGAAUCUGGACACCACAGGUGGCUCCAAAGGAAUUAUAUCCUCUUUGCUUUCUGGAUCUUUAUUUGAAGAAAGUCAUUAGAUCUAUAUGAAGACAAUGAGGAAUAUUCUUAAGUCUGUUGUUUCUUUAGAUUUGAUGAGGCGCCAAGAAGAACUUCGGAGGAUGGAAGAGCUGCACAACCAAGAGGUGCAAAAACGAAAGCAACUGGAGCUCAGGCAGGAGGAAGAGCGCAGGCGCCGUGAAGAAGAGAUGCGGCGGCAGCAAGAAGAAAUGAUGCGGCGACAGCAG
rnacentral:lncRNA from 1 species